GAUGAAGAACGUAGCGAAAUGCGAUAAGUAAUGUGAAUUGCAGAAUUCAGUGAAUCAUCGAAUCUUUGAACGCACAUUGCGCCCCCUGGUAUUCCGGGGGGCAUGCCUGUCCGAGCGUCAUUACAACCCUCAAGCUCAGCUUGGUGUUGGGCCCCGCCGCCCCGGCGGGCCCUAAAGUCAGUGGCGGUGCCGUCCGGCUCCGAGCGUAGUAAUUCUUCUCGCUCUGGAGGUCCGGUCGUGUGCUCGCCAGCAACCCCCAAUUUUUUUCAGGUUGACCUCGGAUCAGGUAGGGAUACCCGCUGAACUUAAGCAUAUCAAUAGGCGGAGGA
rnacentral:misc_RNA from 1 species